CUUGCUUUGUUGCUAUGUACACUAAAAUUGGAAUAGCAAAGAGAAGAUCAACACAGUCCACGAGCAAGGAUGUUUCACCCUUUCGAGGAUAAUUCCAUAUUUUG